ACGGUAGAUUUGGUAGCAAUACUGAAUUGAGAGUGACGUAAGGGUGCGUAACACGUAUGCAAUCUGCCCUCAACAGGAGUAUAGCUCGGGGAAACUCGGAUUAACCCUCCAUAAGAUCACACGAAGGCAUCUGAGAGUGAUUAAAACGCAAGUGGUUGAGGAUGAGCAUGCGCAUGAUUAGUUAGUUGGUAGGGUAACGGCCUACCAAGACGAUGAUCAUUAGGGGAACUGAGAGGUUGAUCCCCCACACUGGCACUGAGAUACGGGCCAGACUCCUACGGGAGGCAGCAGUAGGGAAUAUUGGUCAAUGGGUGAGAGCCUGAACCAGCCAUGCCGCGUGCAGGAAGACGGCCUUCUGGGUUGUAAACUGCUUUUAUCUGGGGAUAAAAUGGCCGUGCGCGGUUAAUUGAAGGUACCAGAUGAAUAAGCACCGGCUAACUACGUGCCAGCAGCCGCGGUAAUACGUAGGGUGCAAGCGUUGUCCGGAUUUAUUGGGUUUAAAGGGUGCGUAGGCGGCCUGUUAAGUCAGUGGUGAAAUCCAACAGCUCAACUGUUGAUGUGCCAAUGAUACUGAUGGGCUUGAGUACAGACGAGGUAGGCGGAAUUGACAGUGUAGCGAUGAAAUGCAUAGAUAUUGUCAAGAACACCGAUAGCGAAGGCAGCUUGCUAGCCUGUAACUGACGCUGAUGCACGAAGGCGUGGGGAUCAAACAGGACUAGAUACCCUGGGUAGUCCACACUGUAAACGAUGAUUACUCGAUGUUGGCGAUACACAGUCAGCGUCUUAGCAAAAGCGAUAAGU
rnacentral:rRNA from 1 species